rnacentral:tRNA from 1 species
UAGAGAGUGGUGUAUUGGAAGCACGUAGAGUCUUGACCUCUUAGGUAAAGGGUUCGAGCCCCUUCUUUCUAG